rnacentral:rRNA from 1 species
CUAACACAUGCAAGUCGAGCGGUAACACAGGGAGCUUGCUCCCGGGUGACGAGCGGCGGACGGGUGAGUAAUGUCUGGGAAACUGCCUGAUGGAGGGGGAUAACUACUGGAAACGGUAGCUAAUACCGCAUAACGUCGCAAGACCAAAGAGGGGGACCUUCGGGCCUCUUGCCAUCAGAUGUGCCCAGAUAGGAUUAGCUAGUAGGUGGGGUAACGGCUCACCUAGGCGACGAUCCCUAGCUAGUCUGAGAGGAUGACCAGCCACACUGGAACUGAGACACGGUCCAGACUCCUACGGGAGGCAGCAGUGGGGAAUAUUGCACAAUGGGCGCAAGCCUGAUGCAGCCAUGCCGCGUGUAUGAAGAAGGCCUUCGGGUUGUAAAGUACUUUCAGCGGGGAGGAAGGUGUUGUGGUUAAUAACCGCAGCAAUUGACGUUACCCGCAGAAGAAGCACCGGCUAACUCCGUGCCAGCAGCCGCGGUAAUACGGAGGGUGCAAGCGUUAAUCGGAAUUACUGGGCGU